ensembl:lncRNA
GUGGAGACAAUGACUCAUAUCAGGCCUUUUCAAACCUUCCAACCUUUUUGUCUGCAGGAGCUAAGGACUGCUUUUCCAUUUUUUAUGCUGAGCAAUGCCGCUGCGACACAGUUGUACCAGACAGAAUUGUCUCAUGUGAAACUCCUUCUCUCCUGUGAAACCCAUUCUCUCCUGUGAAACCUCUUCUCUCCUGUGAUACCCCUUCUCUCCUGUGAAUCCCCUUCUCUCCUGUGAAACAAAUUCUCUCCUGUGAAACAGAUUCUCUCCUGUGAAACAUCUUCUCUCCAUCAGGGGCUUAUGGCGCAUGACACUAUUAUUCAGGAGAGACGUUUGUAAGAAGAAAAACAUGUUCUGUAAAUACUAAUACAAUUUAAAACUCAAACCCUUCAAAAAGUUGUUAAAGUCGUUUGCAUUGCUAGUUAUCUAGCUAUAGCUACUGAUGUUACUGUUAAUGUUAACUUGCUAGGUAACAACGUUAACUUACCAGCUAGCUAUCACUUCCUGGUUUCUAGCUUGUUCGAUGGGUAGCUAGCAUUUGGACAAAUCUUGCACCUUAAAUAUUUUUUUAUAUAUAUUUUUUAAAUGUAUUAAUGCUCAGUCUGCUGUUUUUAUGCUCAGUCCACUAGUAUUUGUUUUUAUUUCUUCUGUACAAACUGUUGCACUAACUGCCCUUUGUUUGUUGUGAAACUUACUUAGCAAUAUAAAGGCCAUUCUGCCGAAUUGGUGCCAUUUGCAUAUUUUAAUUAAAUAAAAAUUC